rnacentral:rRNA from 1 species
CCCUUAGAUGUCCUGGGCCGCACGCGCGUUACACUGAUGCAUUCAACGAGCUUAUAACCUUGGCCGAGAGGCCUGGGCAAUCUUGUUAACGUGCAUCGUGAUAGGGAUAGAUUAUUGAAAUUAUUAAUCUUGAACGAGGAAUUCCUAGUAAACGCAGAUCAUCAAUCUGCAUUGAUUACGUCCCUGCCCUUUGUACACACCGUCCGUCGCACCUACCGAUUGGAUGGUCCGGCGAAGCCUCGGGAUUGUGGUUCUUGCCGCUUUAUUGUGGCGUGACCGCGAGAACUUGUCUAAACCUUAUCAUCUAGAGGAAGGUGAAGUCGUAACA